GACGAACGCUGGCGGCGUGCUUAACACAUGCAAGUCGAGCGAUGAGAUCACUUCGGUGAAGGAUUAGCGGCGGACGGGUGAGGAACACGUGAAGAAUCUGCCUUCAACUCCGGGAUAACUCCGGGAAACCGGGGCUAAUACCGGAUAUGAGCCUUGAUCGCAUGAUCGGGGCUGGAAAGUUUUUCGGUUGAAGAUGACUUCGCGGCCUAUCAGCUUGUUGGUGAGGUAAUGGCUCACCAAGGCGACGACGGGUAGCCGGCCUGAGAGGGCGACCGGCCACACUGGGACUGAGACACGGCCCAGACUCCUACGGGAGGCAGCAGUGGGGAAUAUUGGGCAAUGGAGGAAACUCUGACCCAGCGACGCCGCGUGCGGGAUGAAGGCCUUCGGGUUGUAAACCGCUUUCAGCAGGGAAUAAGCGCAAGUGAAGGU
rnacentral:rRNA from 1 species